rnacentral:rRNA from 1 species
GAGUUUGAUCAUGGCUCAGAUUGAACGCUGGCGGCAUGCCUUACACAUGCAAGUCGAACGGCAGCACGGGAGCUUGCUCCUGGUGGCGAGUGGCGAACGGGUGAGUAAUGCAUCGGAACGUAUCCUGGAGUGGGGGAUAACGUAGCGAAAGUUACGCUAAUACCGCAUAUUCUGUGAGCAGGAAAGCGGGGGACCUUCGGGCCUCGCGCUCUUGGAGCGGCCGAUGUCGGAUUAGCUAGUUGGUGAGGUAAAGGCUCACCAAGGCGACGAUCCGUAGCAGGUCUGAGAGGAUGAUCUGCCACACUGGAACUGAGACACGGUCCAGACUCCUACGGGAGGCAGCAGUGGGGAAUAUUGGACAAUGGGCGAAAGCCUGAUCCAGCCAUGCCGCGUGUGUGAAGAAGGUCUUCGGAUUGUAAAGCACUUUAAGUUGGGAGGAAGGGCAGUAAGUUAAUACCUUGCUGUUUUGACGUUACCGACAGAAUAAGCACCGGCUAACU